rnacentral:lncRNA from 1 species
AGAGUUCCGGAGCGCGGCGAAGGCUCCCACGCCGCGGGAGGGAGGAAAGGCGUCCGCGGGACGGUGGAGGCAGGCGGCGGGGCAGGCCUGGGGAGUUACACCCGCUCCGCACAGCGCCCUGGGCUCCGGGCGCCUCUCCGCACCGGGCAGGAGUUUUGGCGGGAGGGAUUCUGGCCCGGCCCUCCCACUUUCUCUGCCCCUCGGAGGCAGGUGGCAGCACAGGACCGCGUCCAGGCCGAAGGACAGCGGGGCUGGCUACCGUGGGCAGAGAAACGUGUCGGGGACCCGGGUUAGCAGCCCUGCAAAACAGGCACCCGCUGAUGGCCGGUACGUCCUGAAUGUUGCGGUCCGAUGGCCGGUACGUCCUGAAUGUUGGUUUACUUUCCCGGAAGUUAGGGUCAGAGUCCUAACUAAGAACACUGUCCCAUUCCUGCCCUUCUCCUGCCUCAGCCUCCCGAGUACCUGGGACUGCAGGCGCCCUCCACCACGCCCGGCUAAUUUUUUGUAUUUUUAGUAGAGACGGGGUUUCACCGUGUUAGCCAGGAUGGUCUCGAUUUCCUGACCUCGUGAUCCGCCCGCCUCGGCCUCCCAAAGUGCUGGGAUUACAGGCGUGAGCCACCGCGCCCGGCCUUCACUCAGCAAACUUUUAUUGACCACUCAUUAUGUGCCCUCUAUGAGGGCCUAUCUCCUCCACCUAUGUGCAUGGCUUGCUCCUGUUGAGGCUCUGAAAACGAAACCCCAAAAUGAAGGCCCCAGAGGCAGCCUCAGAAGCAAGUUUCUCUCUGACCUUCUGCUCCCUCUCUGAUCUCUGAUUCUCUGAGGCUAGCCAUAGAAACUCAAGAAUCCCUCUUGCCCAUGACGGAGCAUAGAAACAGGAAUCCCUUUUCUCCACAGUCAGCCAUAAAACCUAAAAAUAUUACUCUCUCUCCACCUUUCUGUGAAAAAACUGGCCAUAAAGAAAUUAUUGGCCUGGCACGGUGGCUCACGCCUGUAAUCUCACCACUUUGGGAGGCCAAAGCGGGCAGAUCUCAAGGUCAGGAGUUCGAGACCAGCCUGGCCAAUAUGGUGAAACCCCGUCUCUACUAAAAAUACAGAAAUUAGCCAGGCGUGGUGGCGCAUGCCUGUAGUCCCAGCUACUCAGGAGCCUGAGGCAGAAGAAUCGCUUGAACCAGGGAGGUGGAGGUUGCGCCACUGCACUCCAGCGUGGGUGACAAAGCGAGACUCAGUCUCAAAAAAAAAAAGAAAAAGAAAUUAUCUGGGCUAGGUGCGGUGGCUCAUGCCUGUAAUCCCAGCACUUUGGGAGGCUGAGGCAGGCGGAUCACCUAAGGUAAGGAGUUUGAGACCAGCCUGGCCAACGUAGUGAAACCCUGUCUACUAAAAAUACAAAAAAUUAGCCAGGUGUGGUGGCAGGUGCCUGCAGCUACUCCGGAGGCUGAGCUACAAGCAUCGCUUGAACCUGAGAAGUGGAGGCUGCAGUAAUCCUAGAUCGCACCAUUGCAUUCCAGCCUGGGCGACAGAGUGAGACUCAGUCUCAAAAAACAAACAAACAAACAAACAAACAAACAAAAAAAGGCCAGACGUGGUGGCUCACACCUGUAAUCCUAGCACUUUUGGAGGCCAAGGCGGGCAGAUUGCCUGAGCUCAGGAGUUCGAGACCAGACGGUGAAAUCCCGUCUCUACUAAAAAUACAAAAAAAAAUUAGCCAGAUGUGGCAGCGUGCGCCUGUAUUCCCAGCUACUUGGGAGGCUGAGGCAGGAGAAUUGCUUGAACCCGGGAGGCGGAGGCUGCAGUGAGCCAAGAUCGCGCCACCGCACUCCACCCUGGGUGACAGAGAGAGACUGUCUCCAAAAAAAAAAAAAAUGUAUCUGACCUCCUUUGUUUUGCUGGUAGGUUGUAAGACCCCAUUCCAGGAAGGGUUCUUUCCCCUAUCCAGAAGGAAAGAAUCCAGACAGGCCUCGCUGGGCUUCCCCACUCAGUCUAUGAGCAUUAGAUCAUGCCCUUCUUGUCCAGUCCUAUUUCUACUCAGCUGUGCAUAUUUUGUUGAGCCUAAGCAUAAAAAUAGUUUUCCCUGUAACUUUGGGUCUUAAUUCUGAAGGUUCCUUUGUCAUGUAAAAGCAUGACCGAAUAAAUUUGUAUCACUUUCCUCCUAUUAAUCUGCCUAUUUUCAGUUGAAUUUUUAGAGAAACCUGAGAGCAAAGGGGAAGUUUUCCCUUACACUCCCUUACAUUCCACUUGGACUUUUGAAAUCAACUUCUGUUACCUUCCUUUCUGUAUCACUGAAACUCCUACCUUGAUUUAUGUUCCCUUCUUAGCAUUUACCAUUAUCUCUUUCUCGCCACACACACACAAACACACACACACACACACAAAACUUAUUAGGUUCAUCUCUGCCACCAAAAUGUAAAACCCACACUAAUAGGGUCUUUUCUCUAUCUUCUUUAUCCCAAGGACUAUCACUGUAGCACACAGCAAUCACUCAAAUAUUUGUGGGAUUGAUAAAUGGGAAUACAACUCAUGCAGACUGCAGUCAUCUCAAAUUAAGUAAAAGACAACAGCCUGAAGCCACAUUUUCAGUGAAAUGAUCAUCACAUUCUCAAAACACCUUUGACAACUUUUAUAAAAUGGGACUUCGGCUAGGCACGGUGGCUCAUGUCUGCAAUCCCAACACUUUGGGAGGCUGAGGCAGGAGGAUCACUUGAGCCCAGGAGAAUGAGGCCAGCCUGGGCAACAUACAGGAGACUCUGCCUCUACAAAAAUAAUUUUUUAAUUAGCUAGGCGUGGUGGUGCAUGCCUGUGGUCCCAGCUACUCGGGAGGCUGAGAUGAGAGGAUCACUUGAGAGGUUAAGGCUCCAGUGAGCCAUGUUUGUGCCACUGCACUCCAGUCCAGGUAACAAAGCAAGACCCUGUCUUUAAAAAACAAAAAAUGUAGUCCCAGCUACUUGGAGAGCUGAGGUGGUAGGAUCACUUGAGCCCGGGAGGUUGAGGCUUCAGUGAGCAGAGAUCAAGCCAACCUGGGAACAGAGUGAGAUCCUGUCUCCAAAAAAAGAAAAGGUGGGAGACUUCACAGACAGUUCUGAAAGCAAAGGCACAGGGAAAUUACAUAUCUGUGUGUGUCUUCUGGGCUCUACUACCUACUAGUUUUCUGACCUUAAGACCCUUUCCAAGCCUGUUUUCCUCCUCACUUCCAAAAUGGUUUUACCCAAGGUAAUGGCAGUUUUGAAGCAUGAAUAAGACAGACCAAGUAAAGUGCUUAGUACUAGAUCGAGACAUUACACAGUACUCAAGAAAUGGUAGCUACUUUUAUUACCAGCAGGCCGUUAGUUUCACAGAGGAAGAACAGUUUCUACAGGUGGUGAUCUAGUCUCCGGUUCCACCUUUCACUCUUUUCUGUGGCCUUGGGCAAAUCAUUUAAUCUGUCUUUGAAGCUAUUUCCCACAUUCAUAAACUACGUGGGCAAGUGAAAAUAAUUCAACCCUUUUUUCCCAAAUAGAAAAAUACUUAAGAUUUUAGCACUGAUCCAUCAGAGAAGCCACACUGGAAAACCUACGCAGAAACUAAAACUUGGUACCAUUCACUAUCCUCAAGUUUAUAGAAUUAAAAAGUAACAGACGUAAUAGGUAUAAAUACUCAGAAAACAUGAACAUGUCUCAUGUCAAAUAAGAACAGAAAGUUGGUGUGUAAAAAAUGUGGAUUAGCUGUCAAUAUAUAAAACACAGAAUACUGUUUUUAAAAAGAAUUGUUUAUUUACCGAACCUGGGGCAUAUUAGAUACAACCAAUUUUAAAUUUACAUCUUUUAAAUCAGUUUUGAAGUGUUUCACACACACAAAAAACUUGGCAUGCAACAGUUGUCCUAAGGUGAAAGUCACCUCAUUAAUAAACUGUUGCAAGUGUUCUCACCCAAGGUGGAAGUAUGGUUUAUCCUGAACAUGAAAACCUGUAACAAAUUUAAAUUAAUUAUAUAAAACUCGUUACUUGUAGUUUUGCCCUUGCAAAGAUCCAAAAAAAAAAAAAAAAGCACAAGUAACUAAUAUGUAUCAGUCACAACAUAAUCCUGGAUCAUCCCCAUACCAAAACCGGAUGCUCUUUUAAUUUUAAACCCAUCAUCAGAGAACAAGAGAAAGUAAUUUCAUUUUACACAAAACAAGAUUCACAUGUGCCAAAAAAGAAAGACCCAAAAGAAACAAAAACCAAAACCCUAAUGCUGACACUGAUGGUCAGUACCCUGAACAGUGGCCCAAAGGCCACUGAUCAAAAAUAAAAUAGUGGCUGUAUAUCAAUGAAAUGAAAUCCAAGAAGCUUUAACCCUUUGGCAUCAGAAAUCCAGAUUUUUCCAAUUAUGUAAAUGCUUAUUUCUUACAUGCCAAGAGUGGGAGAAGUGAAUGUGCCAAUGUGGAAAGAAAAAAAGCCACCACUCACUGGGACACCCAGAGAAUUGGCUUUAACAGACAAUUAGGGGGUUAGGCAGAAACCCAGAAAUGGUUAUUAGCUGCUUGUGUCAUCAAUUUAAGUGGAGAUGACUGAGUCCUAAGGUACAAUGUAAAAAUGUAUGUGGGAAAAUGUAUGCUGAGUCGUAGUUUUAAAGCAAAACAAGAAAACAAAGUAUGAAAGUACCCAGCCUGGCAGCAUACACCCAAGUCAGAGAGCUCUGCCAUUAGGACGGGCAGAAACCGUCAAGAUUCAUACUGCUGUUUCUCAUAAGGACUCAACAAAAAUGAAUCUUUAGUGACUUGAACCAUAGACUGAAGGAAUCCAAAGAAUGCAGUCAUUUUAGUAAAGUACUAUCAGGCUUUGUGCUGAUUUCCUGAACAAACUGCAUUAUAUUAUGAAAACAAAAGGAAAAGAAGAAAUAAUAAAAACUAUACUCCCAUAUUUCACUUACAGUGUUUGAGUUCCUGGAAGGACCUAUAUAAUGGAGGCAGCAUUCAAACAAGAAAUUAUGCCAAUCAACUGUCAAAUUUUCACUAUAAUUUUCCUAAAAAGGCGUUUUUCCCCCAAUAUCUAUUAAUCUCAAAGAAACAUAAGUUGUGAAUGUACAGUUCAGAAAAUAAAAAUGGAGAAACUAAUGACAUUAUUAUGACCAAGGUGUUUGGUAAACAGUGAAUUCUGAGUUGGGAUCAUCAGGAAGAGGCUUUUUAAACAACUCUCCGGACUUCAAAAAAUCUCUUCAGGUAGUAGAUCUGUCCCAAUGUCAUGGCAACUAGAACAAGAGCUUCAAAGAAGGACCAAAGGACCACUCUGCUGUUUGUGUUGUCGUUGACUGUUGAGGACAAAACAAACAAACAAAUGGCUCUGUGUAUUCUCUCCCGGACUUCCAUGUAUUCCUGUUCGUGCUUUACAGCUGUCAUCGCCACUGCUAGCUCAUUGAUCAUUUCUUCUAGCUUGUUCUGGUGAGAUGCUGU